rnacentral:lncRNA from 1 species
UUAGUGUCUACGUUCAGUUGAUUCUUUGAAGAAUUGUGAGUGUAUUUUUGGAAUAUUGUUCAAAAUAAUUAAGAGUUUCCGUGCAUCUUUAAGAAUUAAUCAAUGUGAUAAAAGAAUUUUGUGAAAAAUCUUUAUGGGAAAUGUAUAAGAAAAAAAUCACAAAUCACCACAAGUGUUAUCCAUAUCAAUACAAGGAAUCAAGACAAAGCCAUGGUAAAACUACGUAUUUAUAGAUCACAGUUUGCAAUAAAUGAAGGGAAACAUCGACACGUCUGGGGGGACACCGAUUUCUACCAAGCACAGCCUCGAGAGCAGUUGAACUUGACAGGAAAGUAUGAAAUUGGAUCAGUCGCAAACAUCUACGCCACGACAGGAUAUUAACUGGGAUGCAGGCGGGAAACGAGUCGGGGAAAGGUUUUUCUUGCCGCGACAAAGCCGAUAUACACGAACGAGAAAGAUUCUAAAUGAGUUGCCAACCUUUUAUCGCUCGAAUUUCUUUCUGCACGUUCUUUUUUUUUUUUUUUCUUUUCCAUUUACCUCGCACUCCUUUCUCUCUUUUUCCUGCAUACGACACGCCCUAUAUUUUUUCGUGUCAUCCAAGAAUACCGAAUUUCAAUUCCCGUCGCACGACAUUCAACUCUUUAACAUCGUUGUCAAUUUCCAUGGAAAGAUUCGAAACGCUUUACACUCUCCUGUAUAUAUAGUUACAUACAGUUUUUCUUUUUAUUAUUUCGUAUAAAAUUUCUGUAUUUUUAGCAAUUAAUUCCACGAUCCAACGAAUUUUUAUCAAAUAUUUGCAUUCACUUGCAAAGCGAUCGAAUUCAUAAUAUCGUUACCUAUCGGAUUUUCCUAUAUUUUCCUCUGAUAUGAAAUUUUUACAUACACCCGUUUCUAUUUUUUUCUCAAAUUUUAACGAAAUACCAUUAUGCAGUUUCAAUCCAAUGUUUAAAAAUUCUUUUGCAUGUCGUACAAAUUCUAGGAAUUUUCUCAGAGAACCGUGUCAUCAACGAUUCUACGUGAAUAUCAUUGAAUUUACAUUGAUAUUUGAAAAUCUUUCCGAAUUUUUAAACAAAUUUCGAAUAGAGUUAAUGUUUACUUGCAAAAUUGAUCUCUUUUUUUUUUUUCGUAGUUCUCUCUAUGUAUUCUCUGUCGCGGAUAUGGAAAAUAUUUGCACGAUAAUAUUAGCAACGAUGUCACGAACGGAUAACAUAGGUGGUGAUAUAUAAUGUUAACGUUGUUCGUGAUACGUAGGAUACAAUAGGAUUAGAAAUAUCGAUUUUACGGAUAAUAUAACAAAGGGUUGAAACAUGCAAAAUAAUCCACUUGAAAUAUUCUCUAUUGGAUUUGAGCUUUCAAAAAUAUGUCAACAAUGAAUAAUCCGUUUCAAAAAUCGAAUAGAAAAUUAUUCUUAUGAAAUUAUUGAUUUUAUUUUAUGUAGAAAUUGAAUCUCUUUAAUUCUAUUGAUUGCUGCAUAAUUUUUAUACAAUAAGUUAAAAGUUUAAAAUGAUUCUACUGACACAACUAUUUCAAUUGUCUGAGUUAUUUCAAAAUUUUAGAUUUCAGAAUUCAAGAAUAAAUAAACAUUUAAGAUUAAGAAAGUUUAGAAACUUCAUACUCCAUGACCAGUUUAAAAUGAACCAAUCUACAACUGUACAGUUAUUCAAGAAGAACAUGGAUAAGGGAAAAUAACAUGAAGCAAAGUGACUUAACCGAAAUCAUUCAACAAGCUUCAACUGUUGCUUUACCAUGAGCUCAUCAAUUGAUGAACGAUAAUGAAAUGAUCGAAUGACAUAUAUUCGGACAAUCAUCAUCGGCCAUAAUAAAUUUUCAGUAAUUGUGUUAAUGCGAGAUCCAUGUAAAUGCUCGUUCAUCCUCCACAAAGGAACGAGAUACCAGGUCAAUCGUUGGGAUCCAAUGUCUCGGGAGGAUACUGGUGGAGACGAUCUUGCAGUGACAUAUCGGGCCACUGCAGUGUGGUGCAGUGAACGCAUAGAUCAGCGUUGAAGGGCAAUUCCGGAAGAUUCUGGUUGCAAGGGAUUGAAGACGCACCAAUCUGCGAUCGUUACGAGCUUUCCCCUCCAUUUCCAGAAAUCUCCUGAAUUUGUCAAUUAUUGGCAGAUUAAGAUACAAUUUGUAAACAUGGCGAUGGAUAAUUGAAGAAUGGUAUGAAUGGCACAUUUAUAAUUAUCUUAAAAAUUAAUCUUUCCAAGAAUGAAAUUGUCCUGAAGUGUUUGAAACUAGGUAAGACAUUUUGAAUGAAUAAAUUAAAUUUUAUUUACCAUAA